UACGUAGGGGGCGAGCGUUACCCGGAGUUACUGGGCGUAAAGCGCACGUAGGCGGAUCGAUCAGUCAGGGGUGAAAUCCCAGGGCUCAACCCUGGAACUGCCUUUGAUACUGUCGAUCUGGAGUAUGGAAGAGGUGAGUGGAAUUCCGAGUGUAGAGGUGAAAUUCGUAGAUAUUCGGAAGAACACCAGUGGCGAAGGCGGCUCACUGGACUGGUAUUGACGCUGAGGUGCGAAAGCGUGGGGAGCAACAGG
rnacentral:rRNA from 1 species